rnacentral:rRNA from 1 species
AGAGUUUGAUCAUGGCUCAGGAUGAACGCUAGCGGCAAGCUUAAUACAUGCAAGUCGUGGGGCAGCAUGAAGUAGCAAUACUUUGAUGGCGACCGGCAAACGGGUGCGGAACACGUACACAACCUCCCGAUAAGUGGGGAAUAGCCCAGAGAAAUUUGGAUUAAUACCCCGUAACAUUGCGAUGUGGCAUCACAUUGCAAUUAUAGCUUCGGCGCUUAUUGAUGGGUGUGCGUAUGAUUAGAUAGUUGGAGAGGUAACGGCUCACCAAGUCUACGAUCAUUAGCUGAUGUGAGAGCAUGAUCAGCCACACGGGCACUGAGACACGGGCCCGACUCCUACGGGAGGCAGCAGUAAGGAAUAUUGGUCAAUGGACGAAAGUCUGAACCAGCUAUGCCGCGUGAAGGAUUAAGGUCCUCUGGAUUGUAAACUUCUUUUAUAUGGGACGAAAAAAGGUCUUUCUAGAUCACUUGGCGGUACCAUAUGAAUAAGCACCGGCUAACUCCGUGCCAGCAGCCGCGGUAAUACA